CAUCAGGCCGAGUUGUAAUUUGCAGAGGAUGCUUUGGAUUCUACACUGUACCAAGUCUAUUGGAACAUGGCGUCAUGGAGGGUGAUAAUCCCGUAUCCGUGCGGAUGUUAGUUUCCAUGUAAAGCUCCUUCAAAGAGUCGAGUUGUUUGGGAAUGCAGCUCUAAGUGGGUGGUAAAUUUCAUCCAAAGCUAAAUAUUGGCUAGAGCCCGAUAGCGCACAAGUAGAGUGAUCGAAAGAUGAAAAGCACUUUGAAAAGAGAGUUAAAAAGCAUGUGAAAUUGUUGAAAGGGAAGCGCAUGCAGCUAGAACGAUGAUUUCACUUCAGCCUUACGGUGUACUUGUGUUUUCAUCCGUCAACAUCAAUUUGAACAGCUGGAUAAAGGUUUCGGAAAUGUAGCUCUUUUCGGAGAGUGUUAUAGUCCGAUUCGUCAUACAGCUCGUUUAGAUUGAGGUCCGCUUU
rnacentral:rRNA from 1 species